rnacentral:rRNA from 1 species
GGGUUCGUAGUUGAACUGUGGGCCGCGCUGCCGCCGCGCUCCGCCCCACCCGCAGAGGGUGCGUGGCACGCGGCGCGCGCUGCCCGCGAACACUCAGACACAAGCAGCGCGGGAACGCUUCCCCACACCACGCGUGUCAUGCACGCACGGGGCGCCCGCGAGUCUUUACUGUGACUAAAAAAGCGCGACCAAAGCAGUCCAUCGACCUGAAUUGCAAAGCAUGGGAUAACAAAGCAUCAGCCUCCGGGCCACCGAUUCGGCUUUUGUUGGUUUUAACAGUCCGUUGGAGAUUAUGGGCCGGCGCGAGCACGCACCGCGGCAUUCCACUCGGAACACGCCGCACGCCCCGCGGCGCCUCGCGCGUCGCGGCUCGCCGGCCCGGGAAUGAAGGAGGGCGGCUCGGGGGAGAACGUACUGGCGCGUCAGAGGUGAAAUUCUUAGACCGCGCCAAGACGAACCACAGCGAAGGCAUUCUUCAAGGACGCCUUCCUCAAUCAAGAACCAAAGUGUGGGGAUCGAAGAUGAUUAGAGACCAUUGUAGUCCACACUGCAAACGAUGACGCCCAUGAAUUGGGGACCUGUGGCCAGCGGCGCCGCCGGGCUUGCCCGCGCGCGCGCUCGCUCCACCAACCAUCACGUGCACAUUCUUUGGCGCGGCUUCGGCCCCGCCGCUACGGGA